rnacentral:sRNA from 1 species
ACUAUGUUACAGUAAUCCUAACAGUAAGUUUAUGACGGUGGCUAACGCUCAGAAAUGAGGUGAUGCCUAUGUUGAUUAAGCGUUACCUUGAGAAAGGAUAACAUGUCGGUUUUCAACGCACUGAUGUUGGCAAUUUCGGUUGCCAUGUUAGUCAUUGAGAUUCUGAAAUU